GAUGAACGCUGGCGGCGUGCCUAAUACAUGCAAGUCGAGCGAACGGACGAGAAGCUUGCUUCUCUGGUGUUAGCGGCGGACGGGUGAGUAACACGUGGAUAACCUACCUAUAAGACUGGGAUAACUUCGGGAAACCGGAGCUAAUACCGGAUAAUAUUUUGAACCGCAUGGUUCAAAAGUGAAAGAUGGUCUUGCUGUCACUUAUAGAUGGAUCCGCGCUGCAUUAGCUAGUUGGUAAGGUAACGGCUUACCAAGGCAACGAUGCAUAGCCGACCUAAGAGGGUGAUCGGCCACACGGGAACUGGGAAACGGCCCAAACUCCUACGGGAGGCAGAAGUAGGGAAUCUUCCGCAAUGGGCGAAGGCCGGACGGAGCAACCCCGCGUGAGUGAUGAAGGUCUUCGGAUCGUAAAACUCUGUUAUUAGGGAAGAACAUGUGUGUAAGUAACUGUGCACAUCUUGACGGUACCUAAUCAGAAAGCCACGGCUAACUACGUG
rnacentral:rRNA from 1 species